rnacentral:misc_RNA from 1 species
UGCAAAGAUUCAUCUUCAACCUACCUUGACAAGCCAUCACUUUCGUUAUGCUUGCUUCUGCCCAACCCAACUCUAAUCUUAUGAAGACUUAAUCUCACUCCCCAUCAACAUCCCCUCUUCACAACUUAACUAGACUCAUCUUGACAAUCCCAAAAUAGGACCCGUUAAUUCAUCAAUUAGGGUUUAUUUUAUUAUAAAUUGGGUUAAAUUGGUUUUAAUUUGGGAAUUAGAAGUGCUAACCUGGCACCUCUUUGAGCAUUUAAUGAAGUAACUAACGGUGGGGUUCAAUUGUAGUGAAUUUCAAAGUUCAUGAUAUAUUUGUUAAAUAAAAAUAGUUUAGGGUACAACUGUAUAUAAAAAAAAGGGGUAAAGUUUGUGGUUUUUUUAGACAUUUUCACCGUUAGAAUUAACGGUGGAACAGACAGCAAAGUGAAAUUGUAAAAAUGUUCAAAGUUUAGGGUAUUUUUGUUCAAAAAUAAAGUUGGGGUUAGAAUUAUUAAAAACCUCAAAAUUUAGGGUUUUUUUAGACAUUAUCCCUUUUUUCUCUAUUCUAAGAACUCAUAAAAUGUUAACUAGUGAAAACUUAUAAUUAAAAAACUGAGUUGUAUGGCAUGUUUGGGUACAAGUGAAAUUGCGAAGAGUCUUUUUCUCUUUUCAUUGGAAAAUGGAAAGACAUGUUGGGGGAGGAACAUUUGUAGGGGGAAAGGACAUGUCACCUUGUGGUUUUGGGCUAGAUGUGUAGCCUGUGUAUUAGUCACUCAUGAUUUAUUUGCUCUUAAAUGAAUUUAAAUAAUGUUGUCAUCUUAUCAGCCCAUGUGUGUUAAUCUUAUUAGUUUUAAAUCAAUUCAACUAGGUCAGUUGUUAUGUGCUGAGAUUACCGUCUCUUUACAAUCUUAGGUUUAUUAUACUGUAAAACAAAAACAAAAACAAUACAGCAAAUAUUGCAGAUCCGUGGCUAAAAUUGAAUGCGCCUUUUUUCAUAUCUCUUAACUCUAUAUGUCCCUGCUUUGUGUGCCUGAUAUGCACCUAACUGAAGUAAUUUUGACCAAGGACUUCCUCCUUGCACUGUGGGCCAUCCUAAGGAGUGCUUUCAACAAUGCUGUUUAUUUCUUGAUCCAAGUUCUUGAUGUAGUCACAUGUUUGUAUAUUGAUUGUGCUGUCAGAUGGUUCAGAGAGUUCUGGAAAUGCAAAGACAAAUAGGCCAAGAUUUUUUUGGUUGCAUGGAAGUAAGCAAAUGCACUUAAAAUUUCAUUUUCAUUUACUUUUUGCAGGUAAAGUGCGCUCAAAUUCUUCUUGAGGCAGGAGCAACUGUU